UAUUAUUGUUAUCAUUAUUGUUAUUGUUAUUGUUAUUAUUAUUAUUGUUAUUAUUAUUUAUUUUUUUGAGAGAGAUUUUGAAAAUGUUCGUGGAAAAAAUCCUCAGAAAUACUUUUUCAUUUAGAAGAAUGUUUGUAAAGAGAAAACAUGGAUUAACUUUUAAAAUGAUACUCGACAAAUAUUUAGUUUUGAUGUAUGAAGAAGUGUACGGCAGAGGAUUGGGGUCACGUGACGUUUAUUUUAGAUCUGACCAAGUCGUUUCCUUUUGUUUUGUUCUGAGAUUAAAGUCAAAAUUCUAGAAUUCUGUUUUUUAUUGAACUUUUCCUUCUUGUUUUCCUCAUGAGUCUUUUUCCGUGGAUCUGAAGAGGAACGUUUCAGCGAUGGAUCAAAAUAAAAUGCGCACCUUUCCCCUGCGUCACGUGAUCCAACCCGGAAGUGUCUGGAUUUUGCUUUGACAUGUCUGAGGAAAGUUGUGUGGUUGUUGUUGUUGUUAGCUGCUAACUUUAGCUCUGUGAACAUGUCUGACCUGCUAUCAAAGAUAAACAGCAGCGUGGAGAAGAUGAAGAAGAAGAAGAUGAAGACUUGUGUUUCUCAGACGGACUUACAGAAGCUCGGGUUAACAGGGAUCCAGCUGCGGCCCUACCAGCUGGACGGGGUUCAGUGGUUGACUCAGUGUCAGAGGAACCAGCAGGGAUGCAUUUUAGGAGACGAGAUGGGUUUAGGGAAAACCUGCCAGACGAUCUCUCUGCUGGUCUUCAUGUCCGGGUCUCUCGGGCAGACCGGUCCGUUUCUGGUUCUGAGCCCGCUGUCCGUCAUGGAGAACUGGAGGAACGAGCUGCAGAGCUUCGCUCCCUCUCUCACUGUGCUGUGUUACAAAGGAGACAAAGAGAGACGGGCUGAGCUCCAGAGAGAAACCCAGGACUUCCACGUUCUGCUCACCACCUACGAGCUGUGUCUCAAUGAUUCCUCCUUCUUGAAGCGGUGGAAGUGGAAGGUGCUGGUAGUGGAUGAAGCUCACCGACUGAAGAACCAGAAUGCUCUCCUGCACAGAACUCUGACGCAGUUCUCGGUGGGUUUCCGGGUGCUGCUGACGGGGACGCCCAUCCAGAACAACCUGCAGGAGCUGUACUCCCUGCUGAGCUUCAUCCAGCCCGCCGUGUUCAGCGCCGAGGAGACGGACGACUUCUGCAGCAAAUACGCCAACGUGCGAAGCCAACCUGCUCUGGCCGCCGAGCUGCAGAGCGUCCUGGAGCCCUUCCUGCUCCGCAGAGUGAAGUCCGAGGUGGCCGUGGAUCUGCCGAGGAAGACGGAGCUGCUGGUGUACCACGGCAUGUCAGCGCUGCAGAAGAAAUACUACAAAGCGGUUCUGAUGAAGGACCUGGAGGCGUUUGGAGGCGAUCAGGGCAGCAGGAACCGGCUGCUGAACAUCCUGAUGAACCUGAGGAAGUGCGUGGACCACCCGUACCUGUUUGAUGGGGUGGAGCCGGAGCCCUUUGAGAUGGGCGAGCAUCUGGUGGAGGCGAGCGGGAAACUCUGCCUGCUGGACAGCAUGCUGAUGCACCUCCACAGAGAGGGCCACAGGGUGCUGCUGUUCUCUCAGAUGACGAGGAUGCUGGACAUCCUGCAGGACUACAUGGAGUACAGAGGUUUCAGCUACGAGCGUCUGGACGGGUCGGUGCGCGGGGAGGAGAGGAAUCUGGCGGUGAAGAACUUCAGCAGCAAACACAUCUUUGUGUUCCUGCUCAGCACGAAAGCAGGGGGUGUGGGUCUGAACCUCACAGCUGCUGACACGGUCAUUUUCAUGGACAGUGACUUCAACCCUCAGAACGACCUGCAGGCGGCUGCUCGCUGCCACCGCAUCGGGCAGAACAGGCCUGUGAAGGUGAUCCGGCUCCUGGCCAAAGACUCGGUGGAGGAGAUCAUGUAUUCCCGGGCGGUUUCUAAGCUGCACCUCACCAACACGGUGAUAGAGGAGGGACGCUUCUCUCUGAUGGACCAGGCUCAGUCCGCGGCUGCAGGGCUGCAGCUCAGCGAGAUCUUGAAGUUCGGGGUAGAUAAGCUCCUGUCAUCGGAAGAGAGCUCGGUGCAGGAAGUGAAACUGGAGAAGAUCCUCGGCCCGUCUCGUGACGGUCAGUGGGCGGAGGAAGACUUCAGAACUGUCAGAGAGGAAGAGGAAGAGGAGGAGGAGGAAACUGACAAACAGAACCACAUGUACUUCUUCGAGGGGCGGGACUACAGUAAGGACCCGAGCGCUGAGGACCAGACCAGCUUCCAGCGUCUCCUGGAGGAUCAGCAGGACGAGUUUCAGAGAGCCGUCGGAGAGGGACGAGCGCUCAGACACAAAGCCGGAGUCUCUCUGUCGGCCGCUCUCGGGAUGCCGGUGAGGAAGAGGAAGGCUCUGAGUGAAGAUGAGCUGCAGCUGAGGAAGAAGAGGAGGGAGGAAGCUGCGGCAAAGAGAGCCCAACUGCAGGAGGAAGAGGAGAAGAGGCAGCAGGAGAAGAAACACAAGAAAAAGAUGGCGUGGUGGGAGUCCUCUGGCUACAGAUCCCGCUGCCUGCUGUCUGUAGACAGUGAGGAAGAGGAGGAGGAGGACGAGGAAGAUAACGGCAGUAUUUCCUCCACAGAUUCUGACAGCUUGGCGAUCCGCUACGUCCUCGGAGACGUCACCCAUCCCCACGCCGCUCGGGGGGACGCCAUCAUCGUCCACUGUGUCGAUGACUCGGGGCGCUGGGGUCGGGGGGGUUUGUUCACGGCUCUGGAGGUGAGAUCAGAUGAACCCAGGAAACAGUACGAGUUGGCUGGCAAGAUGAAAGAUUUGGAGCUGGGGAAUGUGCUGCUCUUUCCCAUCGACGACAAACAGUCCAGACUGGACGGCCAGGAUCAGAGUGGAAUAAGGAGAGCUCGGAUCACUGAGCUGACAUACCGUGAACCUCAAACACCGUGUUUCCUCCUUCACGUGCAAAUCUUGAAUAUGCAUCAGAGCGGUACAACGGGCGCAUUACAACACUCCCUGUGUGUGACGUCACACACGGUCCUCCAGCCCCACAUCUGCACACACCAGCUGCUGGAAACACUAACGCUAACACUCACCACUCCGUAACGCUGCUCUCCAAUCUCCGACCAACUGGCUGUUCUUCAGAUCAUCGGUUCCCUCCUCCGAUAGAGUCUCAGACUGUGAGGUUGAUGCCAACAGCCUCCAUGGUUCCUUCUCACAGUUUAGCUAACUUCACUUACUUCUGUGGGCUCUGAGGCAGCCAUGGACUGCUACUUGUGAACCAGCCAAUCAGAGCAGAGCUCGUCAUCAUUAUUUAAAUGAGACAAUUCAGCUCGUUUAGUUCUAGGACCAAAUCAUAGGGUAGUAAAUGGGUCUGUAAAACUGCAUCUGGACCUUUUUUGGAUCAACCAAAGUGAAAUACCUUCUUGUGGACGUCAGAACACUUCAUAUACCAGAUGGGUGCGUUCUGUGGCACCUUUUGAAGAGUUCUGAGAUGUUGAGAAAAAGUUUUAGAUUUUCAGGAUCAAAUCUGAUUUUGAGAAAAAGUCAGAAUUGUGAGAUUUUCAGAUAAUCUUCAGUCAGAACAACAUUUUAAUUUCUAGAAAAAAGUCUGAAUUUGAGGGAAAAAUUCAAAGUGAGAUUUCUAAAAUUGUACGUUAAAAAAAUGGAGUCUUUCUUAGAUCUUCAGAAAUCUUGAAAAAAAGUCGUAAUUUUGUGCAAAAUGUCCUUUUUACAAGUGAAACAAGCUGGACCUGAUGCUGGUUCAGAGAUAAGCUCUUCCUCCUCCUCCUCCUCCUCCUCCUCCUCCUCCUCCUCCUCCUCUCUACAGGAGUUGUUCUGGUCGCUGUGUGGUGACAGGACUGAUGUGUCCUCAGAUAAACUGUGUUGCUGUUUGUUCUACUUCCUGUUUGUCAGUUGGCUCUGAUCGUGGCGCAGCAGAGAGAUAGAGACAACAGACUGUCGGGCAUCUUCCUCUCGGCUGUGGACGAAGGGCUGAAGAAGAUCUACGCUGCGGCCAAGAGACUCAAGGCGAGCGUGCAUCUGCCUCGCAUCGGUCACUCCACCAAAGGCUUCAACUGGUACGGCACGGAGCGUCUGAUCAGGAAACACCUGUCCUGCCGUGGCGUCAACACCUUCAUGUAUCCUUUCAACACGUCUGAAUGC